AUGUAUCCACUAGCCUGGGCUGUAGUUGAGAAUGAAACUAAUAUCACAUGGAAGUGGUUUGUUCGGAUACUCAUUAAGGACUUGGAAAUAAACAAUAAUGGAGCUGGCUGGGUUAUUAUUUCUGAUCAGCAGAAGGGCUUGAUAAAUGCAGUGAAUGAUUACCUUCCUGCUGCAGAUCAUAGGAUGUGUGCUAGGCACAUUUAUGCUAAUUGGAGGAAGAAACAUAGAAAUCAUGAGUGGCAAAAGAAAUUCUGGCCAGUUGCUAAGGCUUCCAACAGGCAAGAUUUCAACUAUUAUAAAGCCAAGGUUGCACAAGUCACUCCUGAAGGGGCUAAAGACAUCAUGAAGACUGAGCGAGUGCACUGUGUCGGUGUCAAAACCGGCGGAUCUCGGGUAGGGGGUCCCGAACUGUGCGUCUAG
rnacentral:rRNA from 1 species